rfam:Treponema porcinum strain ATCC BAA-908 genome assembly, contig: EI69DRAFT_scaffold00015.15
UCCGGUAGCCAUAGUGGAGAGGCAAUACCCGUUCCCAUUCCGAACACGGAAGUCAAGCUCUCUAACGCCGAUGAUACUGCCGCAAGGCGGGAAAGUAGGUAGCUGCCGGAC